AUUGAACGCUGGCGGCAUGCUUUACACAUGCAAGUCGAACGGCAGCGCGGGCUUCGGCCUGGCGGCGAGUGGCGAACGGGUGAGUAAUGCAUCGGAACGUGCCCAGUAGUGGGGGAUAGCCCGGUGAAAGCCGGAUUAAUACCGCAUACGACCUGAGGGUGAAAGCGGGGGACCGAAAGGCCUCGCGCUAUUGGAGCGGCCGAUGUCGGAUUAGCUAGUUGGUGGGGUAAAGGCUUACCAAGGCGACGAUCCGUAGCUGGUCUGAGAGGACGACCAGCCACAUUGGGACUGAGACACGGCCCAGACUCCUACGGGAGGCAGCAGUGGGGAAUUUUGGACAAUGGGGGCAACCCUGAUCCAGCCAUGCCGCGUGCGGGAAGAAGGCCUUCGGGUUGUAAACCGCUUUUGUUCGGGAAGAAAUCCUCUGGGCUAAUACCCCGGGGGGAUGACGGUACCGGAAGAAUAAGCACCGGCUAACUACGUG
rnacentral:rRNA from 1 species